rnacentral:lncRNA from 1 species
AUUUGGAAUGGUUUGGAAUUAGGGGAAGCAGUCAUAAUACAUAGUCUUAAAACGUUAUAAAGGUUGUUUUGGCAAUAACUUUCAUAAAUUUUAAUUCCAGUAUUUUAGAAGUAGGGCCUGUAUUUGCCCACAUCUUCUUUAUAUUGUUGUGUUUCCCUCCCGGCAUAAGUGGAUUAUUGUUUUCUAAUUCUUGACUUUGGUCUUGGAGACUAUAUAAAAUCAAUCAAAAUUUUACUUAAAGUUGACAUGUACUAGUACUAACACAUGUUUUGAAUAGACUGCAGAAUCAGGGUAAUUGCUUGGUGUUCGGAUGCAGCAUUUCUGACCAAUUAGUGACCUCUUCUGCCUUGUUUUAAUUUGACAGAGUGAGCGCUGUUAUAAAAUAAGAAAGGAUCGCUGUGAUGAUACAGGAUCUGUUACCUCUAGUUUGCUCUUCAAAUAAUCACAGUAUUGUAGUCCCAAUAGUAUAAGUUUGUGGGUUUUAG